rnacentral:rRNA from 1 species
UCUCAAGAAAAGGAUCUUAGUUCAACCUGAAGUUUUAACAAAUAAUUAUAUAUACAGACUCAACUUCAGAGCAAUUCAAAUAAGGUUCAGCCUAUUUGAAACAGGAUACAACCUCUUCUAACGGGUAUCUACUUUUCUUUUUUCCCCCUAAGUGGGCCUAAAAGCAGCCACCUUUUGAAUGGCGUCAAAGCCAACGAAAUUAAAACUCAUAAUUUCCUAACCACCAACCAACCCUUAACUACUACUGAGAAGCUCUAUAUACGUAUAGAAGUUUUUAUGUUAAAACUAGUAAUAAGAAGAAGACCUUCUCUUUAGUGCAAGCUUAACUCAGCACUGAACCCCUCACUGACAAUUAACAUUUAUGAACCUAAAGCAGCAACCCAACAAUAAAAGCCUUCUCAGAUUCAAUGUUAACCUAACACAAGAGCACUACAAGAAAGAUUUAAAGGGAGAGAAGGAACUCGGCAAAUAUUAACCCCGCCUGUUUACCAAAAACAUCGCCUCUUGAAAUAUAUAAGAGGUCCCGCCUGCCCAGUGACCUAGUUAAACGGCCGCGGUAUCCUGACCGUGCGAAGGUAGCGUAAUCACUUGUCUUUUAAAUAGAGACUAGUAUGAACGGCAUCACGAGGGUUACUCUGUCUCCUCCCCCUGAUCAAUGAAACUAAUUUUCCCGUGAAGAAGCGGGAAUGCUUAUAUAAGACGAGAAGACCCUAUGGAGCUUUAAACAAAGUAAUAUCUGCUUUUCCUUUUUUUCCCCCAGGACAAUAACCACCAUUUUAGCAUUAUAAUUACUAGUUUUCGGUUGGGGCGACCGUGGAGCACAAACUAACCUCCAUGAUGAACCAGCAUUGGCCUAAACAAAAAGCUACGACUUUAUGUAUCAGAAGACUGACAUAUAUUGACCCAAAAUUUUGAUCAACGAACCAAGUUACCCUAGGGAUAACAGCGCAAUCCACUUCGAGAGUUCAUAUCGAAAAGUGGGCUUACGACCUCGAUGUUGGAUCAGGGUAUCCCAGUGGUGCAGCCGCUACUAAAGGUUCGUUUGUUCAACGAUUAAAACCCU